rnacentral:piRNA from 1 species
UCGAGAAACUAAGCAAGCGGCACC